UACGAAGGGGGCUAGCGUUGCUCGGAAUCACUGGGCGUAAAGCGCACGUAGGCGGCUUUUUAAGUCAGGGGUGAAAUCCUGGAGCUCAACUCCAGAACUGCCUUUGAUACUGAGAGGCUCGAGUCCGGAAGAGGUAAGUGGAACUGCGAGUGUAGAGGUGAAAUUCGUAGAUAUUCGCAAGAACACCAGUGGCGAAGGCGGCUUACUGGUCCGGUACUGACGCUGAGGUGCGAAAGCGUGGGGAGCAAACAGG
rnacentral:rRNA from 1 species